rnacentral:ncRNA from 2 species
AUACGUCUUCGGGGCGGGGUGCGAUUCCCCACCGGCGGUAAAACCGGCAACGGUUGAGCCCGCGAGCGCUUGCGGUGCGAUAUUAAUACGGCAAGGUCAGCAGAUCUGGUGCGAAACCAGGGCCGACGGUAUAGUCCGGAUGAAAGAAGAUGUGC